rnacentral:rRNA from 1 species
GAUGAACGCUGGCGGCGUGCCUAAUACAUGCAAGUCGAGCGAACAGACGUGGAUCUUGCUCCUCUGACGUUAUCGGCGGAUGGGGAAGUAACACGUGACAAACCUAUCUAUAAGACUGGACUAAGUUCUGGAAACCGGAGCUAAUACCGAAUAACCUGUUGAACCGCAGGGUUCAACAGUUGAAGAAGGUCUUGCUUUUACUUAUUGGUGGAUAGGCGCCGCCUUAGCAUGUUGUUAAGGUGACGGCAUACCACGGCAACGAUGCGUAGCGGACCUGAGAGUGUGAUCGGCCACGCUGGCACUGAGACACGGUCCAGACUCCUACGGGAGCCGGCGGUAGGGAAUCGGCCGCAUGGGACGAGAGCCGGACGGUGCAACGGCGCGUGAGUGAAGAAGAUCUUCGGAUCGUAAAACUCUGUUAUUAGGGAAGAACAAAUAGGUAAGUGGCUAUGAACGUCUUGACGGUACCGAAUCAGAAAGCCACGGCUAACUACGUG